ensembl:lncRNA
UGCAAUCACAGGCAGGUGGGGCAACAGCCAUGGGUCACGUAACUGAGGCCAAAUGUGAGAGGCUGGCCGGAAUCAAUAGAUGAGUCAGGGCUCAAUGUAUAAAACCUCGGGAGCUCCAGUGCUCCUCACAUAGCCAGCAUCUUCUCUCUUCACUCACCCUUCCUGGUGCUUUGGAGAAUCAGCGUUGGAGAUCUGAGAGAUGAAGCGCACGAACCCUCGCAUUUUACAGAAGUGAGGAAACAGGCCGCAGGAUGGGAUAUCUGCCCCCAAAAUCACACAGCAGAGGCCAGACGCAGAGCUAGGCGAGAGAAAUGGGCACCACUAAGCUGGCGAUGUAAAGCUUGGUAAAGACUUUCGGCGAGGGAGUGCAACUCUUUUCUAAAAGUACAAUCCUAGGAGUCCCAGCGGAGAGCUCUCCCGGAUCUGAGCAGAGAGAACUUCAAGCCUGGCCCAGGCAGUGCUGCUCCAGAUGAUGGGUGUUACCUGGUGCAACUGCCUCCUCCCCGCAUCCUCCUGCCGCUGGUCCAGUGAUGCUCUCUGCUUUCUUUCCAGGCUUCCCUCCCUCCUUAGACAAGAUGUCUCACCAGAAAAAGCAACCCACUCCCCAGCCCCCAGUGGGCUGCGGGAAGAUCUCCGGCGGUGGCGGCGGUGGCGGCGGCGGCGGCAGCGGAGGCGGCUCUGGCGGCUGCGGUUUCUAUAGCGGCGGCGGCGGCGGAGGCGGUGGCUCUGGCGGCUGCGGCGGCGGCAGUGGCGGCAGUUCCGGAGGGAACAUCAAGUACUCCGGCGGCGGCUCCUCCAGCUGCGGCGGCGGCUCCUCCAGCGGCGGCGACUCCAGCUGCGGCGGCGGCUCCUCCGGGGGCAGCAGUGGCUUCUACUCCGGCGGCGGCGGCGGCGGCAGCUCGGGCCAGCAGGUGCAGUGCCAGAGCUACGGAGGCAUUUCUAGCGGCGGUUCCUCCGGGGGCGACUCCAGCUGCGGCGGCGGCUCCUCCGGUGGCGGCUCCAGCUGCGGGGGCGGUUACUCCGGCGGCGGCGGCUCCAGCUGCGGCGGGGGCUCCUCUGGCGGCGGCCCCGGCUAUUUCUCGUCGCAGCAAUCCACCCAGACCUCCUGCGCGCCCCAGCCGAGCUACGGAGGAGGGUCGUCUGGCUGCAGCGGCUCCUCCGGGGGCGGCAGCGGCUGCUUUUCCAGCGGCGGGGGCGGCGGGGGCUCCGGCUGCGGCGGCGGCUCCUCCGGAGGUGGCAGCGGCUGCUUCUCCAGCGGUGGGGGCUCCUCCGGGGGCGGCGGCGGCUGCUUCUCCAGCGGUGGGGGCUCCUCCGGGGCCAGCGGCUCCUCCGGGGGUGGCUCCGGGAGUGGCAAGGGCGUCCCGGUCUACCACCAGACCCAGCAGAAGCAGGCACCCACCUGGCCAAGCAAAUAAGGCCCCCUUGGACGCCAAGGAGGCGAAGGAGAUGGAGGUGUUCUCCGUGGGCGCCGAUGGGCUUAGCGCUCUCAUGAUAUUGCCCUGAAGUUUCCGUUUUCUUUAUGUCUUAACUCACCUGGAAGAAGCCAUUGAGCUCUCAGGCUGCAUCUUGUUCUGCAGUUUUUCUCCUUGGUUUCUGUACAACUGCCUCCCAAUCCCAGUGCCUCCUCAGUCAAUAAAUUUGCAAUUCAUGAGAAUAUUUGGGUUUCCAGGAGUCUUUGUAGCUUCCAAGUUCAUUCAUUCCAUUCCUGUCCUUUCCUCCAUUUCCUCAUCCACAGGUACAUUCAUUCAACGAAUAUAUUUAUUCUGUUGGGGAGAGGUUGGAUCGGCAGAUAGGAGUCACGGGCUUAGGGGUUGAGUAGCCACCGUGGGUCUCCUCAUUGAGCUCAAUGCUUUCUUAAGACAGGGCUACCCUGGGAAGAUGCUGUCUUUCAUAGUCCAGAGCCUGCUCUGCAAGGUCUGAAAGCAGGGUGGCUGCACAUUAGGAGCACCAGCUUGUGCUACCCAGACUCUCAGGAGAAAGGAUACCUAUAUCCGAUAUUUAUGAGCCUCUACAGUGUGUAAGACCCUUUACUAGGCAGCUAUAGGGACAAGAGGAAGUAGAGGAGCUAUUUCCUGCUCUCUUGAAGGAGUUUCACCCAACUUAGGAAAAUACAGCAGAAGUGUAUGAAAUGUUCAAUACCAGUACCACAGCGAUCAGGGGAAACACAGGAAGCUUUCCAGUUAACAAGGAGGAAGCUCAGUUGCUCUGUUAAUUGCAUGACAUAGAACGUCAAAAGGGAUGUAGAACAUCAGUCUGAACAGGAAUUCUCCAGGCUCCGUUUCAUAUCCUGAUUCUACCAGCCCUAACUGAAUGCCAAUUUAUUGAUUUACUCAAAAUAAAACACCUGCUACAUCAAAAAGUCAAGGAAUUCUCCCUACCCAGUCACUGCUGGAGACAAAAAGACAAGUUAUUCACCCCCCCCCCCCCCAACUCUUCCAUUUACAGGGUCAGCACCGCCUUCAUAAUUUUUCAAUGGUAGCUUAUGGAGAUCAAAACAGGUAGCAGCCUUAAAGAUCCAAUGUCC